rnacentral:rRNA from 1 species
AGAGUUUGAUCCUGGCUCAGGAUGAACGCUGGCGGCGUGCCUAAUACAUGCAAGUCGAACGAAGAGAGAAGCUUGCUUCUCUUUUAGUGGCGAACGGGUGACGAACGGGUGAAUAAUCCAUAAGCAACCUACCCAUUCGACCGGGAUAACAGUUGGAAACGAUAGCUAAUACCGGAUAGGUUAAUUGAAGGCAUCUUCGAUUAAUUAAAGUAGGUUUUCUACACAAAUGGAUGGGCUUAUGGCGCAUUAGUUAGUUGGCGGGGUAACGGCCCACCAAGACGAUGAUGCGUAGCCGACCUGAGAGGGUGACCGGCCACACUGGGACUGAGACACGGCCCAGACUCCUACGGGAGGCAGCAGUAGGGAAUUUUCGGCAAUGGGCGCAAGCCUGACCGAGCAACGCCGCGUGAGUGAAGAAGGCCUUCGGGUUGUAAAGCUCUGUUGUAAGGGAAGAAUGGCCAAGAGAGGGAAUGCUCUUGGAGUGACGGUACCUUACCAGAAAGCCACGGCUAACUACGUGCCAGCAGCCGCGGUAAUACGUAGGUGGCAAGCGUUAUCCGGAAUUAUUGGGCGUAAAGGGAGCGUAGGCGGUUUGAUAAGUCUGGUGUGAAAUGCUAUAGCUUAACUAUUGUGAGCCUUUGAAACUGGUAGAGUUGAGUACAAAGGAGGUAAGCGGAAUUCCCGGUGUAGCGGUGAAAUGCGUAGAUAUAUGGAGGAACACCAGUGGCGAAGGCGACUUCCUGGCCUGUAACUGACGCUGAGGCUCGAAAGCGUGGGGAGCAAAUAGGAUUAGAUACCCUAGUAGUCCACGCUGUAAACGAUGAUUACUAGGUGUCGCGGAGAAAACUCUGCUGCAGUUAACGCAAUAAGUAUUCCGCCUGGGGAGUAUGCACGCAAGUGUGAAACUCAAAGGAAUUGACGGGGGCCCGCACAAGCGGUGGAGUAUGUGGUUUAAUUCGAAGCAACGCGAAGAACCUUACCAAGUCUUGACAUACCGUGCAAAACCCUGGAGACAGGGGAAUAGUUAUGGCGGAUACAGGUGGUGCAUGGUUGUCGUCAGCUCGUGUCGUGAGAUGUUGGGUUAAGUCCCGCAACGAGCGCAACCCUUACUGUUAGUUGCCAGCAUUAAGUUGGGGACUCUAGGGAGACUGCCGGGGUUAACUCGGAGGAAGGUGGGGACGACGUCAAGUCCUCAUGGCCCUUAUGACCAGGGCUACAAACGUGAUACAAUGGCGUAUACAAAGGGAUGCGAAGUGGCGACAUGGAGCAAACCUCACAAAGUACGUCUCAGUUCAGAUUGAAGUCUGCAACUCGACUUCAUGAAGGCGGAAUCGCUAGUAGUCGCGUAACAGCAUGACGUGGUGAAUACGUUCUCGGGGUUUGUACACACCGCCCGUCAAACCAUGGGAGUUGGGAGCGCCCGAAGCCGGUAUCCUAACCGUAAGGAGGGAGCCGUCGAAGGUGAGAUCAAUGACUGGGGUGAAGUCGUAACAAGGUAACC